AUCCAUCUGACGAGUCCCGAAUAGGACAAAACGCACGUCCUGGAU
rnacentral:hammerhead_ribozyme from 1 species